GCAGUGAUGACAUUCCAUUUUGCACACAUUAGGCUACUGAUUCGGGUGAUGUGAAUCAGUCUGAGC